AACCUAUGUAGAAGAGCUUUGAAAACAGUGAGAUUUUAAAAUGAAACCAUUAUUACUAAAAAGAAACAUAUAAGGAGAAAGAAAUGUAAAAUACACCAAUUGACUGUGUGCUGUGUACCAGCUCAAGAACUCUGAACUCGAGAACGCAUAUUACCACUGCUAGUCAUGUGUAUCUUUCUAUAUCUAAUUUCAGUCCUUGGAGGGAAGAAAUUGGUUUGAGGAUGCAUCUCACAGACAUGACUCUAAUAUUGUCCUGCUUGGGUAUGUGUAUUUUUUCAAGUAUUGCUAACUUCCACCUGAAGACAAAAGUCUGAUUUUUAUCAAGGCUCAAA